CAGGUGGCGGGCGAGCCUCAAGAUGGCGACCGUAUCUGAUGGAGGCCAGGCAGGUGAGCUGUCGAGGAAAAGGUGCCGCACGCAGGCUUCGGAGGGGAGACGCCGCAUGGCGACGAGAGGUCCGAGAGGUUGUGCGCCGGCUGCCUUUGGGCCUGGAUGCGCGUUUGAGGGGCCGCAGGGGGUGGCGUUCGUCCUCGUCCGGAAUGGGCACGGAGCAGCCGGGUGAGCG